rnacentral:rRNA from 2 species
AGACCCGAAACCCGGUGAUCUAGCCAUGGGCAGGUUGAAGGUUGGGUAACACUAACUGGAGGACCGAACCGACUAAUGUUGAAAAAUUAGCGGAUGACCUGUGGCUGGGGGUGAAAGGCCAAUCAAACCGGGAGAUAGCUGGUUCUCCCCGAAAGCUAUUUAGGUAGCGCCUCGUGAAUUCAUCUCCGGGGGUAGAGCACUGUUUCGGCUAGGGGGCCAUCCCGGCUUACCAACCCGAUGCAAACUGCGAAUACCGGAGAAUGUUAUCACGGGAGACACACGGCGGGUGCUAACGUCCGUCGUGAAGAGGGAAACAACCCAGACCGCCAGCUAAGGUCCCAAAGUCAUGGUUAAGUGGGAAACGAUGUGGGAAGGCCCAGACAGCCAGGAUGUUGGCUUAGAAGCAGCCAUCAUUUAAAGAAAGCGUAAUAGCUCACUGGUCGAGUCGGCCUGCGCGGAAGAUGUAACGGGGCUAAACCAUGCACCGAAGCUGCGGCAGCGAACGUAUCACCCAAGACAACUUUACGGAGUUGACGAUUGACGGAGCGAAGCGACGUCAAAGCGUUCAUUAAAGUCGAGUUGGCUUAGGGAUACGUUCGUUGGGUAGGGGAGCGUUCUGUA